rnacentral:rRNA from 1 species
AACGAACGCUGGCGGCAGGCUUAACACAUGCAAGUCGAGCGCCCCGCAAGGGGAGCGGCAGACGGGUGAGUAACGCGUGGGAAUCUACCCAUCUCUACGGAAUAACGCAUGGAAACGUGUGCUAAUACCGUAUACGUCCUUCGGAAGAAAGAUUUAUCGGAGAUGGAUGAGCCCGCGUUGGAUUAGCUAGUUGGUGGGGUAAAGGCCUACCAAGGCGACGAUCCAUAGCUGGUCUGAGAGGAUGAUCAGCCACACUGGGACUGAGACACGGCCCAGACUCCUACGGGAGGCAGAAGUGGGGAAUAUUGGACAAUGGGCGCAAGCCUGAUCCAGCCAUGCCGCGUGAGUGAUGAAGGCCCUAGGGUUGUAAAGCUCUUUCACCGGUGAAGAUAAUGACGGUAACCGGAGAAGAAGCCCCGGCUAACUUCGUGCCAGCAGCCGCGGUAACAC